rnacentral:rRNA from 1 species
GGUUAAGCGACUAAGCGUACACGGUGGAUGCCCUGGCAGUCAGAGGCGAUGAAGGACGUGCUAAUCUGCGAUAAGCGUCGGUAAGGUGAUAUGAACCGUUAUAACCGGCGAUUUCCGAAUGGGGAAACCCAGUGUGAUUCGUCACACUAUCAUUAACUGAAUCCAUAGGUUAAUGAGGCGAACCGGGGGAACUGAAACAUCUAAGUACCCCGAGGAAAAGAAAUCAACCGAGAUUCCCCCAGUAGCGGCGAGCGAACGGGGAGCAGCCCAGAGCCUGAAUCAGUGUGUGUGUUAGUGGAAGCGUCUGGAAAGGCGUGCGAUACAGGGUGACAGCCCCGUACACAAAAAUGCACAUGCUGUGAGCUCGAUGAGUAGGGCGGGACACGUGGUAUCCUGUCUGAAUAUGGGGGGACCAUCCUCCAAGGCUAAAUACUCCUGACUGACCGAUAGUGAACCAGUACCGUGAGGGAAAGGCGAAAAGAACCCCGGCGAGGGGAGUGAAAAAGAACCUGAAACCGUGUACGUACAAGCAGUGGGAGCACAGAGCAAUCUGUGUGACUGCGUACCUUUUGUAUAAUGGGUCAGCGACUUAUAUUCUGUAGCAAGGUUAACCGAAUAGGGGAGCCGAAGGGAAACCGAGUCUUAACUGGGCGUUAAGUUGCAGGGUAUAGACCCGAAACCCGGUGAUCUAGCCAUGGGCAGGUUGAAGGUUGGGUAACACUAACUGGAGGACCGAACCGACUAAUGUUGAAAAAUUAGCGGAUGACUUGUGGCUGGGGGUGAAAGGCCAAUCAAACCGGGAGAUAGCUGGUUCUCCCCGAAAGCUAUUUAGGUAGCGCCUCGUGAAUUCAUCUCCGGGGGUAGAGCACUGUUUCGGCAAGGGGGUCAUCCCGACUUACCAACCCGAUGCAAACUGCGAAUACCGGAGAAUGUUAUCACGGGAGACACACGGCGGGUGCUAACGUCCGUCGUGAAGAGGGAAACAACCCAGACCGCCAGCUAAGGUCCCAAAGUCAUGGUUAAGUGGGAAACGAUGUGGGAAGGCCCAGACAGCCAGGAUGUUGGCUUAGAAGCAGCCAUCAUUUAAAGAAAGCGUAAUAGCUCACUGGUCGAGUCGGCCUGCGCGGAAGAUGUAACGGGGCUAAACCAUGCACCGAAGCUGCGGCAGCGAC